GCCAGCAGCCAUAUCACCCUGCAGCUCUCAACUGGCUAGCCACUGAAGCUAAGCAGGGUUGAGCCUGGCUAGUACCUGAGUGAGAGAGCUCCUGGGACACUAUGGUUUCUGCUGGAA
rnacentral:rRNA from 1 species